GAUAAUAUGAUUCAAUUUUUUUGGUUACAGUUAAUUUGUUUUAUAAUUUUAAUUCUGAAUUUAUGGGGUGAAAUCUUAAUUUUGGGUAAAAAUUUAUUUUUGUUAAUGAGGCUGAGAUAUUCUUUUUAAAGACUAGGAUUAGAUACCCUAUUAUUUUGAAUGUAAAUUCUUAUUACCAGGUUAGUAUUAGUUAUGUUCUUGAAAACUAAAGAUUUUGGCGGUAUUUUAGUCCAUUCAGAGGAACCUGUCCUGUAAUUGAUAGUCCACGAUUAGUCGUACUUUUUCUUUUAGUUUAUAUAUCGUCGUAGUUUGAACAUUUUAUUAGAAUAUAAAUGUUCAUGAUUUUUGGGGAAUGGAAAUCAGAUCAAGGUGUAGCUUAUGAAAAAGAAGAGAUGGGUUACAAUAAAUUUAUUUGGGGAUUAAUUUCUUUAAAGGAAUUAUGAACAUGGAUUUGAAAGUAAUUUUAAUUAUAUAAUUAAUUUGAUUUUGGCUCUAGAAUAUGCACAUAUCGCCCGUCGCUUUCACUCCAAGGUGAAAUAAGUCGUAACAAAGUAGGCCUACUGGAAAGUGGGCCUGGAAAGGUCAAACUAGAGCUUGAAAUAAAGCAUUUUAUUUACAUUAAAAAGUUAAUUGUGGAAUUCAAUUUGGUUUGAUGUUUUAUUGAUUAUUAUUUUGUUAAGUUUUUAGAAAGGUUUAAAAUAAGAAUAUUAGGGUUUAAUUAUUAGUUAAGAAUAAAUUUUUUUUAUUAUAGAUAAUUAGUAUUGAAAAAGAAAUUAUUAUAAUUUAAAGAAGAAUAAUUUAUUUUU
rnacentral:rRNA from 1 species